GUGAAUCAUCGAAUUUUUGAACGCAAAUUGCACUCUCCUCGGAGAGUAUGCCUGUUUGAGGGUCAGCCUAUAAAAAAUCGACAUCGUUGCUGUUUCGCGGUGGCGUUCGUCGGAAAUUGGGUCAUUUUAAAUCUUUUUGUGUUAAGCGACUUAAAAUUUUCUUUUUGUUUCCAUAAACGUUUCUAAGAUUUAUUUCUUUACACUUCUAAGGUAUCGAAUGUCUUAUUAGACUUGCCCUUCAUAUCGGAUCUUGUCCAUAAUUUUUUUCAUUAACAUUCCUCAUACACUUAGU
rnacentral:misc_RNA from 1 species